rnacentral:rRNA from 1 species
GACGAACGCUGGCGGCGUGCUUAACACAUGCAAGUCGAGCGGUAAGGCCCUUUCGGGGGUACGACGAGCGGCGAACGGGUGAGUAACACGUGGGUGACCUGCCCUCAGCUCUGGGAUAAGCCUGGGAAACCGGGUCUAAUACCGGAUAUGACUCCAUGACGCAUGUUGUGGGGUGGAAAGCCUUGUGCGGCUGAGGAUGGGCCCGCGGCCUAUCAGCUUGUUGGUGGGGUGAUGGCCUACCAAGGCGACGACGGGUAGCCGGCCUGAGAGGGCGACCGGCCACACUGGGACUGAGACACGGCCCAGACUCCUACGGGAGGCAGCAGUGGGGAAUCUUGCGCAAUGGGCGAAAGCCUGACGCAGCGACGCCGCGUGAGGGAUGACGGCCUGUGU